AUUGAACGCUGGCGGCAUGCCUUACACAUGCAAGUCGAACGGCAGCGGGGACUUCGGUCCGCCGGCGAGUGGCGAACGGGUGAGUAAAGUAUCGGAACGUACCUUUCAGUGGGGGAUAACGUAGCGAAAGUUACGCUAAUACCGCAUAUUCUGUGAGCAGGAAAGCAGGGGAUCGCAAGACCUUGCGCUGAUUGAGCGGCCGAUAUCAGAUUAGCUAGUUGGUGGGGUAAAGGCCUACCAAGGCGACGAUCUGUAGCGGGUCUGAGAGGAUGAUCCGCCACACUGGAACUGAGACACGGUCCAGACUCCUACGGGAGGCAGCAGUGGGGAAUUUUGGACAAUGGGGACAACCCUGAUCCAGCCAUGCCGCGUGAGUGAAGAAGGCCUUCGGGUUGUAAAGCUCUUUCGGCCGGGAAGAAAUCGCACAGGCUAAUACCCUGUGUGGAUGACGGUACCGGAAUAAGAAGCACCGGCUAACUACGUG
rnacentral:rRNA from 1 species